AAAAAGUUUCAAAAUUUUCGAAAAAAAUUUUUUUUUUUGAAAUUUU
rnacentral:sRNA from 1 species